AAAAUCCGUCGACUUUAGAAAUCUCUAUCCCCA
rnacentral:tRNA from 1 species